UGGGGAAUAUUGCACAAUGGGCGAAAGCCUGAUGCAGCAACGCCGCGUGAGUGAUGAAGGUCUUCGGAUUGUAAAGCUCUGUCUUUUGGGACGAUAAUGACGGUACCAAAGGAGGAAGCCACGGCUAACUACGUGCCAGCAGCCGCGGUAAUACGUAGGUGGCGAGCGUUGUCCGGAUUUACUGGGCGUAAAGGGUGCGUAGGCGGAUGUUUAAGUGAGAUGUGAAAUACCCGGGCUUAACUUGGGUGCUGCAUUUCAAACUGGAUAUCUAGAGUGCAGGAGAGGAGAAUGGAAUUCCUAGUGUAGCGGUGAAAUGCGUAGAGAUUAGGAAGAACACCAGUGGCGAAGGCGAUUCUCUGGACUGUAACUGACGCUGAGGCACGAAAGCGUGGGUAGCAAACAGGAUUAGAUACCCUGGUAGUCCACGCCGUAAACGAUGAGUACUAGGUGUAGGAGGUAUCGACCCCUUCUGUGCCGCAGUAAAACACAUUAAGUACUCCGCCUGGGAAGUACGAUCGCAAGAU
rnacentral:rRNA from 1 species